rnacentral:lncRNA from 1 species
AAAGCAUUUUCAGACUGUGCGGUCAGCAGAGGGUAGAAAAAAAAAAAAUCAAUGUGAAGCAUAUUAGAGAAGAAUAAGGGUAAGAGUAAUGCAAAGAUGCUGGGAAGCCAUUCAGGAAUUGGAAACAACUGAGACAGAAAAAUCAGUUGGAAGUGAUUUCCCCUCUGUGGUGUCUUCCAGUCCUGGAGAGAACACUGGGAGAUGACUGGAUGAC